rnacentral:rRNA from 1 species
UACGUAGGGUGCGAGCGUUAUCCGGAUUUACUGGGUUUAAAGGGUGUGUAGGCGGGCUAUUAAGUCAGCGGUGAAAUCUUCGGGCUCAACCCGGAAACUGCCAUUGAUACUAUUAGUCUUGAAUACUGUGGAGGUAUGCGGAAUGUGUCAUGUAGCGGUGAAAUGCUUAGAGAUGACACAGAACACCGAUUGCGAAGGCAGCGUACUACACAGUGAUUGACGCUGAGGCACGAAAGCGUGGGGAUCAAACAGG